AACGAACGCUGGCGGCAUGCCUAACAUAUGCAAGUCGAACGAGACCUUCGGGUCUAGUGGCGCACGGGUGCGUAACGCGUGGGAACCUGCCCUUAGGUUCGGAAUAACUCCCCGAAAGGGGUGCUAAUACCGGAUAAUGUCUUCGGACCAAAGAUUUAUCGCCUUUGGAUGGGCCCGCGUUGGAUUAGCUAGUUGGUAGGGUAAAAGCCUACCAAGGCGACGAUCCAUAGCUGGUCUGAGAGGAUGAUCAGCCACACUGGGACUGAGACACGGCCCAGACUCCUACGGGAGGCAGAAGGGGGGAAUAUUGGACAAUGGGAGAAGGCUUGAUCCAGCAAUGCCGGGUGAGUGAGGAGGGCCUAGGGGUUGAAAAGCUUUUUUACCGGGGAUGAUAAUGACAGUACGGGAGAAAAAGGCCCCGGCUAACCCCGUG
rnacentral:rRNA from 1 species